UACGUAGGGGGCAAGCGUUGUCCGGAUUUAUUGGGCGUAAAGCGCGUGUAGGCGGCCAGAUAGGUCUGCUGUGAAACUCGAGGCUCAACCUCGAGCUGUCGGCGGAAACCAUCUGGCUAGAGUCCGGAAGAGGAGAGUGGAAUUCCUGGUGUAGCGGUGAAAUGCGCAGAUAUCAGGAAGAACACCUAUGGCGAAGGCGGCUAUCUGGGACGGUUUCUGACACUAAGACUCGAAAGCGUUGGGGAGCAAACAGG
rnacentral:rRNA from 1 species